rnacentral:rRNA from 1 species
UACGUAGGGUGCAAGCGUUAAUCGGAAUUACUGGGCGUAAAGCGUGCGCAGGCGGUGAUGUAAGACAGAUGUGAAAGCCCCGGGCUCAACCUGGGAACCGCGCUUGAGACUGGCAUGCUCGAGUUCGGGAGAGGAUGGUGGAAUUCCCAGUGUAGAGGUGAAAUUCGUAGAUAUUGGGAAGAACACCGAUGGCGAAGGCAGCCAUCUGGACCGACACUGACGCUGAGGCGCGAAAGCGUGGGGAGCAAACAGG